rnacentral:rRNA from 1 species
GACGAACGCUGGCGGCGUGCUUAACACAUGCAAGUCGAACGAAGUGUCGAACGGGUGAGUAAUACGUGGGUAACCUGCCCUCCUUUUUGGGAUAAGCCUUUGAAACGGGGUCUAAUACCCGAUACAGGGUGUUGGGCUCGGGGCUUAUCAGCUUGUUGGUGGGGUGAGUGCCUACCAAGGCGGUGACGGGUAGCCGGCCUGAGAGGGUGACAUGACACAUUGGGACUGAGAUACUGCCCAGAGUCGUACGGGAGGGAGCAGUGGGGGAGAUUGGAGAAUGGGCGAAAGCGUGAUGCAGCGAGGCUGCAGGGGGGAUGCAGGCUUUAGGGUUGUAAACCUCUUGCGCUAGCGAACGGGUAGGUGGAGAAGAAGCGCCGGCUAACUACGUGCCAGCAGCCGCGGUAAUAC